CUACCUGAUCCGAGGUCAACCUUUGGAAAAUUGGGGGGUUUUACGGCAAGAGUCCCUCCGGAUCCCAGUGCGAGACGUAAAGUUACUACGCAAAGGAGGCUCCGGGAGGGUCCGCCACUACCUUUGAGGGCCUACAUCAACUGUAGGGCCCCAACACCAAGCAGAGCUUGAGGGUUGAAAUGACGCUCGAACAGGCAUGCCCGCCAGAAUGCUGGCGGGCGCAAUGUGCGUUCAAAGAUUCGAUGAUUCACUGAAUUCUGCAAUUCACAUUACUUAUCGCAUUUCGCUGCGUUCUUCAUCGAUGCCAGAACCAAGAGAUCCGUUGUUAAAAGUUUUGAUUAUUUGCUUGUACCACUCAGAAGAAACGUCGUUAAAUCAGAGUUUGGUUUAUCCUCCGGCGGGCGCCGACCCGCCCGGAGGCGGGAGGCCGGGAGGGUCGCGGAGACCCUACCCGCCGAAGCAACAGUUAUAGGUAUGUUCACAAAGGGUUAUAGAGCGUAAACUCAGUAAUGAUCCCUCCGCAGGUUCACCUACGGAA
rnacentral:rRNA from 1 species